rnacentral:rRNA from 1 species
UGGGUGAGUAACGCGUGGGUAACCUGCCCUUAAGUCUGGGAUACCAUUUGGAAACAGAUGCUAAUACCGGAUAAAAGCUACUUUCGCAUGAAAGAAGUUUAAAAGGCGGCGUAAGCUGUCGCUAAAGGAUGGACCUGCUAUGCAUUAGCUAGUUGGUAAGGUAACGGCUUACCAAGGCGAUGAUGCAUAGCCGAGUUGAGAGACUGAUCGGCCACAUUGGGACUGAGACACGGCCCAAACUCCUACGGGAGGCAGCAGUU